rnacentral:lncRNA from 1 species
CCUGUAUUCUCUAACUCGUUUAUUCACAUAUGUUCUAUACAUUGUAUAGGGACAAAACUUAUAAAGAAAAACCAAAAAAGAGAAAUAAAACCAAGACCCUUUUGUAUUUCUUAUCUGUUCAUUCAUCACUUCAUUACAAAAUAUCUAAGCAAAACUUAACUUGAAACCUCAUCCAAAAGCUUGUACCUUCUGACCUUAUUCCUAAAAACAUGUUUGGUUGCACCACCACUUUUGUUUUUGAUAUCUUCUGACUUAGUCCUCCUCAGCUUUUCUUCCAAGGCACCAUUGGUGAUAAUCCUCUUGCGUGUUGAAAUCAAAACUGGUUGAGAUAUUGGUGAUCUUGCCUCUUGUGACUUGUGUAAUUUCAUGGUUGGUUUCUUCUGAAAUUGAAGGGUACUAGUACUCCUUCUUAAUCCAUUCCUGCUUUUUUUAUUCUUAUUGCUAUCAUCAUUACCAAUGUUCCUAUAUGGUGAUGAAGAAUUUGAUGAGUUUGGUGACUUUUCUGAUUCCUUCUGAUACAAACACCAAUUGCAGGUUCCUAAAGACUCUAGUUUAGGGUAAAUAUUACUGCAGUAUCUGCCAAUAUUAACAAUCAAGGGUAGAAUACAAAUUAAGAACCCAUUCCAAUAACAUAGUGAUGAUUUAGCAUUUAAACAUGCCAGGGUGGCAAAUCUGGUAGAUGAUUAAAUUUCUUAACAACAUAACUUAUGUUGUGUAUAUAAAAAUAUUUUGUUGAAAAUGAUAAUAUAAUAAAAAAGAAGGGAGGUGAAAUUUUUGAUACCUGUGCUGAGAUCUGAAUUGACAGACUUUGCAUUGAAAAAGCUGCUUCAAGAGACCCUUGUAGUUCUUCAAUUCUCAUUCUCCCUGAUUCUUCAAUUGCCACCACAACAUGAUCAAACUUGGGAGUCACGGUUCUCAAGACUUUCUCAACAAUUGCAGCAUCCUCCAUUCUUUCACCACACGACUUCAUUCCAUUCACAUGAGUUAUGAUUCUUGUGAAGAAAUCUGCAAUUCUUUCUCCCUCAUCCAUUUGCAUAAGCUCAUACUGCCUCCUCAUUGUUUGUAACCGAAUUUUCUUCAACUGAGCAGCCCCUGCAUAAUGCUUUUCCAACACAUCCCAAGCCUCCUUUGCUGUUGCAGACCCUGCAAUCAACUCAAAAUGGGCAUUGUCCACUGCUUGGUGAAGGAGACAGAUUGCUUUACAAUCUCUCCUUUUGUUCUGUUUGUAAGCAUUUCUCUGUGCUUCUGUUGCUCCUUCUUCUAAUUCUGGCAAUCCUUCCUCUACAAGAUCUGCAACUUCUUGAUAGCCAAGAAUUGCUUUCAUCUGAAUACUCCAUCUUGACCAGUUCUUUCCAUCAAGUACUGGAAGAUUGGUGACAAAAUUUCCAGUUGCUUGAGCCAUAUUGCAGCAGAAAAAAUGGCUUGAUCUUUUGUAGCUCUUGAUACCAAAUGUUAACGAAAAAAACAGAAGAAGAAGUAUGAAGACAGAAGAAGAAUUGAAUGAGGAGAAGAGAGGAUGAGAGUUUCUCAAUGAAUGAGUUACUUCAUUAACAAGACAACAACCAUAUUUAUACAAGUUUCUAUAUAUGUCUAACUAACACUAACUACCAACUAGAAAUAGAAACUUCUCAACUAAACUAACUAACUAUUGAUUACAUUCCAAUAUUAUUAACACACCACACUUUCACUCUCUCUUGUCUCACUACUCAUCCAUUUGACUAAAUUAAAAGAGUCAUACCAAAGAGAGAGGCAUAAAAAUUGCCCAAUCACAUUAACCUAAAAAUCAAAAGAGAGAAAAGAAUAAAAAAAUAAAAAGAAAUCAGCUAGGGUUUCUUGCCAAGAUUGUCCUUGUUAUUAUGCAUCCAAAGCUUGAGAACAUUUAUCUUCACACAAUUCUUAGCAUAAGACUUUUCCACUACAACUUCAUGGUCUUUCUCAAUUCUCCACCCAAGUUGUUCUGGAAAAGCAAACAUUUUCUCCUUAUGCUUCCGCUUGAACUUAGUCCUACACUAUUGGAAUGCUUGAAAUAUAUUAGAUGAAUUAUAACUUAUAAUCUUUAUUCUAUUAGUAAUUGUUUUACGCUUUCCGAACCUAUGGUCAAAUUUCUUUAACAAAUUCUUGUCUUUUGGCCAAACUCUGCUAACAAUUCUUUUUAUCUUUUCUAUUUAUUUCUUGCUCCUUAAUUGAUUGUUUGUGAUUAAUUUUAUGCAAUGGAUGCUUCCGCUGCCGCUACUUAGAAUUGGCAUAUCAUCCUCCCUACUCAUUCCCCAUUUGGGUGUCGCCACCGCAGGAAGAGCCCACGGCUGGUGCUGCGCCAUUGGUGAUACAAGAUUGUGGCGGAGGAGGUGGGUUAUGGUGCUGCUUGCUUUUCCCUCCUUAUUUCAAUCCUCCAACGUAACUUACACGUUCAAGUUAGUAUAAUAACCUGUUUAAUUGAAGAUUUAUUAGCCAAUUGCUUUACAUUAAAAGAAGCAACGCAAAGAAAGGAGUAAAUUAUACUUGGAGCAAUAAUAUCCCGGGUAAAGCGGAUUUUAAUAGCAUUAAUCAAACAAAAAGGAGAUUUGGCUUGUACGGUGUGGCAUCAAGUUGCUACAAACUUUACAAGUCAACUUAUUCUAAUGAAUCAUAUUUUCUUCUUAGUUAAUCAUAUUUUCCUAGGAAUCUAACGCAAUUUGCAAUCUAAUUCAAGAGGGAGGAAAUAUUCUUGUGGGAAAGCAAAUCAAAUGUCUGCUAAGAUACUAACCUUCCAUUAUUAAUAUCAUCCCACUAAUAAUAUUGAUACAAUGGUAUAAUGACUUAACCCAUAAUUCAAUAAUUUAACUGUAUUUAUAUUUAUUAUAAUAAAUAUCAUAAAAUUAUAAUAUAAAUAAUAUUAUUUACAACAUUUAACUCAAUUGUUAUGAUUAUUUAAUGACUGAACAUGUUGCAAAAUGUGAAAAUUUAUGUACCAAAAAAUAUAUGAAAAUAUGAAAGAAAAAAAAUAAUAGUGUAAAUCAGUUUGACCCUUACGUUACUAUACGAUUUGAUUUAUAUUUUAUGAUUUUUGACUAAUUUAAUUAUAUUUCCAAUAUUAUCAUCAUACAUAUAGAUAUCAGAAUAUGUUUUUAAGUUGAAUGGGAGAGUAUCAUAUUAUCUUUAAGCGAUUGGCUCAACCUUUCAUUCAAUUUGUAGUUGACCUCAUUGUCAAGCCUUGUAUACCACUAUAUAAAAUUGAUUCUUUGUGAAGGACCAAAGCCCCACAUACCGUGUGCCAAGUUGCCUAGAAACUUCUAGCAAACUUGCAAAACGCUCUCAUAUGGACUUCUUGCCAACUAAGGACACGUCACUAUCAUUAUUCCUUCAAGACUUAAUAUGAUUCAUUCAAGACUUAAUUAAGAAUCAUGUGUAAUUGUCAAGGAAAUAAUCUCAUUCACAUUAGAAAGGGAAAGGGAAAAUGCUAAGCAUUAUGUCUAGUUUCUCUAAUUUUCCUCCUUCCAAGUUUCCAACUCAUUCCAUUUACAGCCACUGAAUCCCAAAUGUUCAAUAAUUCGAUUCUUAGGAAUGACAUUUGUUGAAAGAAUAACCAUAUAUUCUAAAAGAAAUUAAUUUCUUAUCAUAAAAACUGAAAAGUUAUUCUUGAUAGUACCAAAAAAAUUUCAUACAGAAAUAAAAGGAGGAUCUAAGGUUUAAUUUUUGGUUAGAUUUGCACCAAAAAUUUCUCCCCAAAUCCACUACCACCUCUUAAUGACUUCAGAGAUAACAUAUGAUUUGUUAAGCUGGUAAAGUUUUUUCUUCAAACCACAUUGUGUGUUCAAUGACAAACUAAAGCCAAGAUUUGCUUGUAAAACAUAGUGACAAAAAUCUUUAUAACCUAAUAAUAUUUGUUAUACACACGCCAAAUCAAGAAUCAAACAAAUGACCAUGUAUUUAAGGGAUUCGAAUUCUUUCUACUUGAACCAAUAUUGAUAAUAUGUCUAUCUAUUUUCUCACAUAUACCAUACUCAACUAAAUCAUUUCUUACAGAAAUGAUUGAAACAUUCACAUUAAAUGCCAAUCAUAAAAUUGUAGUCAUAAGCACGUCCUUUGUAUAAAGAUGUUUUUUAAUUCUAACCAUAAUGUUAAUAUGUACAUGAACACAUAUAUAAAAUUAAUUAUGAUCAAUUAGUAAAGAUAUUGAAAUACAGUAUUCAUUUCAUUGUAAUAUAUAACUAUUCCUAUCAUAUAAUAAAAGCUUUUGCAUCAGCAAAGCAACACAAUUUCAGCCUGUAUUCUCUAACUCGUUUAUUCACAUAUGUUCUAUACAUUGUAUAGGGACAAAACUUAUAAAGAAAAACCAAAAAAGAGAAAUAAAACCAAGACCCUUUUGUAUUUCUUAUCUGUUCAUUCAUCACUUCAUUACAAAAUAUCUAAGCAAAACUUAACUUGAAACCUCAUCCAAAAGCUUGUACCUUCUGACCUUAUUCCUAAAAACAUGUUUGGUUGCACCACCACUUUUGUUUUUGAUAUCUUCUGACUUAGUCCUCCUCAGCUUUUCUUCCAAGGCACCAUUGGUGAUAAUCCUCUUGCGUGUUGAAAUCAAAACUGGUUGAGAUAUUGGUGAUCUUGCCUCUUGUGACUUGUGUAAUUUCAUGGUUGGUUUCUUCUGAAAUUGAAGGGUACUAGUACUCCUUCUUAAUCCAUUCCUGCUUUUUUUAUUCUUAUUGCUAUCAUCAUUACCAAUGUUCCUAUAUGGUGAUGAAGAAUUUGAUGAGUUUGGUGACUUUUCUGAUUCCUUCUGAUACAAACACCAAUUGCAGGUUCCUAAAGACUCUAGUUUAGGG